rnacentral:rRNA from 1 species
GCGGAGAAACCACCAGAGUUGCAAAACUCCCACAAACCAUCGCGAAUCUUACCCGUACGGUUGCCUCGGCGCUGGCGGUCCGGAAGGCCCUCGGGCCCCCCGGAUCCUCGGGUCUCCCGCUCGCGGGAGGCUGCCCGCCGGAGUGCCGAAACCAAACUCUUGAUAUUUUAUGUCUCUCUGAGUAAACUUUUAAAUAAGUCAAAACUUUCAACAACGGAUCUCUUGGUUCUGGCAUCGAUGAAGAACGCAGCGAAAUGCGAUAAGUAAUGUGAAUUGCAGAAUUCAGUGAAUCAUCGAAUCUUUGAACGCACAUUGCGCUCGCCAGUAUUCUGGCGAGCAUGCCUGUUCGAGCGUCAUUUCAACCAUCAAGCUCUGCUUGCGUUGGGGAUCCGCGGCUGCCCGCGGUCCCUCAAAAACAGUGGCGGGCUCGCUAGUCACACCGAGCGUAGUAACUCUACAUCGCUAUGGUCGUGCGGCGGGUUCUUGCCGUAAAACCCCCCAAUUUCUAAGGUUGACCUCGGAUCAGGUAGGAAUACCCGCUGAACUUAAGCAUAUCAAUAGCCGGAGGA